AGAAUCUGAACAAGAAGCACUCAGAAACCAUUAUGAAAUUAAUGUGCUGUGAAAACGCAGAUCAUUAAGAAGAAGAAAAAAUACAAUUGCAUGUAUUUGACCAACAGAGACCAAAAACAUCCUGAUAUGAUUUUAAUUGAUAACAUGGGUAGAUCAUAAUUUGCACCUGUCAGUUAAACUAAUUGUGUGUGUGCGCGCUACUUUUCUGUAUAUUCGAUUCCAGUACUGUUGGUGACAUCACAGCUGCAGCAUUAAAUACAAUGGCCUAAUAAAAACAAAUCUUAUCAGGGACACAUUUAAAGUAAUUGCAUAAUAAUGUGACCGAUUAAAUUUAAUUAUAAAUAAGGCAUUUUAAAAGGUUAGAUAGUAACGAGACAAACGCCACCUUGUUGGCCUGCCAUUUGAUUUAAACGAUACUGCUGCAACAAAGGUUCACAUGGGCUCACUGUUAAUAAACGAUGUUGCAAAGCUGCAGCACACGCGGUUUUGAAAGUGCAGGAUUUAAUUACCAAUUUCAUGGCAAGUUCUCCUUUAAAUCUAUCAGCAGAGUACAGGAUCACAAAUAUAACGGUUUUGAUCUCCAUGGCAGUGGAGAAACUGCGUAAGGAAAACGCCAGGAUCAAAAGGUUUGCGUUUGUUAAAAGGGUUUGCCUGAAACAAACAACAUUAGAAAUCUUUACUGAAAAUGGCUUAAUCAGUAGUACAAGACCAAUCAUCCAUUCUUGAACCCACUGCUUCUGGAAUGUCAGUCUGUUAUAAGACAUCUGUUUCACAAACUGUACAGUCAGAAAGUGAUGGAAACGAGGGCAUAGAUUUCAUCACUGCAGGACUUCUGCAAAAGUGUGCCCGCCAGUUUGUGAAUGAGCUGAUGCAUGGCCUGUACACCACAGAGUACAUGUGAAGGCACAGUGCAACUGGAGGGUGGUCAGCACAGUGUGGCAUGGAGGCAAACAUUAAAACAUGCAUUCCAAAGAAUGAAUUGCUUGCAGUCAUUUGUAAGUUGCAAUAGAACUGUUUGACAAAUUUCAGUAUUUAAUGUUGUAUAGUGAGAUAACAGAGUUUAACUAAGCAACAUGACUAACCAUUACAAGUGUUUAUAAACAGUUAAGUCAGCAGUUUUUAUUUUUCUUUGCAUUUCAUUAACAUUUCUCUUUUUCAGUAGAUACAAAAAAUUAUAAUGUAUAUAUGUUAAGUUUAAUAAA